rnacentral:rRNA from 1 species
GAUGAACGCUGGCGGCGUGCCUAAUACAUGCAAGUCGAGCGAACGGACGAGAAGCUUGCUUCUCUGAUGUUAGCGGCGGACGGGUGAGUAACACGUGGAUAACCUACCUAUAAGACUGGGAUAACUUCGGGAAACCGGAGCUAAUACCGGAUGAUAUUUUGAACCGCAUGGUUCAAAAGUUAAAGACGGUCUUGCUGUCACUUAUAGAUGGAUCCGCGCUGCAUUAGCUAGUUGGUAAGGUAACGGCUUACCAAGGCAACGAUGCAUAGCCGACCUGAGAGGGUGAUCGGCCACACUGGAACUGAGACACGGUCCAGACUCCUACGGGAGGCAGCAGUAGGGAAUCUUCCGCAAAGGGCGAAAGCCUGACGGAGCAACGCCGCGUGAGUGAUGAAGGUCUUCGGAUCGUAAAACUCUGUUAUUAGGGAAGAACAUAUGUGUAAGUAACUGUGCACAUCUUGACGGUACCUAAUCAGAAAGCCACGGCUAACUACGUG